ACAACCUCUUUAUCUCUCUUCUCUCUCUUCUACCUAACUUCUCCGAUCAUAAUCUUCAACCAAGAAACCUUUACAAAUCUAAGAUCAUUCUACUUAUUCUGCAGGCUAAUAGGGUCCUGUUUUCAAGAAACUUGCUAGGAUGCUGCUAGAAAUUCACUCUAGAUAAACUUAGAAACUUUUGAGACAAUAUUUGAUGGUUUGUAUGUGAUAUUGUGUGGUUGAUGCUUUAGACAAUUAUUAUGCAGUUGAAUAAUCUAUAUUGAAAUACUUAGUGUUAUGGAA